rnacentral:rRNA from 1 species
UACAGAGGGGGCAAGCGUUGUUCGGAAUUACUGGGCGUAAAGCGCGUGUAGGCGGCUAAGUGUGUCGGGCGUGAAAUCCCACGGCUCAACCGUGGAAGUGCACCCGAAACUACGUAGCUAGAGUCCUGGAGAGGAAGGUGGAAUGCUUGGUGUAGAGGUGAAAUUCGUAGAUAUCAAGCGGAACACCGGUGGCGAAGGCGGCCUUCUGGACAGUGACUGACGCUGAGACGCGAAAGCGUGGGGAGCAAACAGG